rnacentral:tRNA from 1 species
GCUGCCGUAGCUCAGUUGGCUAGAGCGCCUGACUGUGGAUCAGGAGGCCGUUGGUUCAAGUCCAACCGGCAGUACCA